GUGAGCAGUGCGCCCCACGCCGCCUGCCAGUCCACGGGGAAAGACAGCGCGACGUGCUCGCCCAGCUUCCCGGCCUGGGUGCACCGCUCGUGGGAAAGAACACCGCGGAGCGUGAGCACCAGUGACGGCUGCUGGACAGGUGUCGAGUUCGCCAGUGACCUGCCCACCGACGCUGGCCGCUCCCGGGGGCCGGCGCUGACCAGAGGGGGCAGCUCGCCACGCGGCCGCCACCCCCGGCCCCGGGACAGUUCAGCAUGGCCAUCUGCAGGACAGCACUGCUGCCGCUACGGGUGAUGCUCUUCUCAUUCUACGGAGGCAUCAGCUGCGUGCUGCCGUUCGUCACGCUCCACAUGUCGACGCUGGGUCUGACGGCCGACGAGCUGAGCUGGCUGCAGUUCGU